GGGUUGUGAGGUUAAGCGACUAAGCGUACACGGUGGAUGCCCUGGCAGUCAGAGGCGAUGAAGGGCGUGCUAAUCUGCGAUAAGCGCCGGUAAGGUGAUAUGAACCGUUAUAACCGGCGAUACCCGAAUGGGGAAACCCAGUGUGACUCGUCACACUAUCAUUAACUGAAUCCAUAGGUUAAUGAGGCGAACCGGGGGAACUGAAACAUCUAAGUACCCCGAGGAAAAGAAAUCAACCGAGAUUCCCCCAGUAGCGGCGAGCGAACGGGGAGGAGCCCAGAGCCUGAAUCAGCAUGUGUGUUAGUGGAAGCGUCUGGAAAGGCGCGCGAUACAGGGUGACAGCCCCGUACACAAAAGCGCAUGUGCUGUGAGCUCGAUGAGUAGGGCGGGACACGUGGUAUCCUGUCUGAAUAUGGGGGGACCAUCCUCCAAGGCUAAAUACUCCUGACUGACCGAUAGUGAACCAGUACCGUGAGGGAAAGGCGAAAAGAACCCCGGCGAGGGGAGUGAAAAAGAACCUGAAACCGUGUACGUACAAGCAGUGGGAGCACCCUUUGGGUGUGACUGCGUACCUUUUGUAUAAUGGGUCAGCGACUUAUAUUCUGUAGCAAGGUUAACCGAAUAGGGGAGCCGGAGGGAAACCGAGUCUUAAUUGGGCGUUAAGUUGCAGGGUAUAGACCCGAAACCCGGUGAUCUAGCCAUGGGCAGGUUGAAGGUUGGGUAACACUAACUGGAGGACCGAACCGACUAAUGUUGAAAAAUUAGCGGAUGACCUGUGGCUGGGGGUGAAAGGCCAAUCAAACCGGGAGAUAGCUGGUUCUCCCCGAAAGCUAUUUAGGUAGCGCCUCGUGAAUUCAUCUCCGGGGGUAGAGCACUGUUUCGGCUAGGGGGCCAUCCCGGCUUACCAACCCGAUGCAAACUGCGAAUACCGGAGAAUGUUAUCACGGGAGACACACGGCGGGUGCUAACGUCCGUCGUGAAGAGGGAAACAACCCAGACCGCCAGCUAAGGUCCCAAAGUCAUGGUUAAGUGGGAAACGAUGUGGGAAGGCCCAGACAGCCAGGAUGUUGGCUUAGAAGCAGCCAUCAUUUAAAGAAAGCGUAAUAGCUCACUGGUCGAGUCGGCCUGCGCGGAAGAUGUAACGGGGCUAAACCAUGCACCGAAGCUGCGGCAGCGACACUGUGUGUUGUUGGGUAGGGGAGCGUUCUGUAAGCCUGCGAAGGUGGCCUGUGAGGGUUGCUGGAGGUAUCAGAAGUGCGAAUGCUGACAUAAGUAACGAUAAAGCGGGUGAAAAGCCCGCUCGCCGGAAGACCAAGGGUUCCUGUCCAACGUUAAUCGGGGCAGGGUGAGUCGACCCCUAAGGCGAGGCCGAAAGGCGUAGUCGAUGGGAAACGGGUUAAUAUUCCCGUACUUGGUGUUACUGCGAAGGGGGGACGGAGAAGGCUAUGUUGGCCGGGCGACGGUUGUCCCGGUUUAAGCGUGUAGGUGUGUGUUCCAGGUAAAUCCGGUUCACUUUAACACUGAGGCGUGACGACGAGGCACUACGGUGCUGAAGCAACAAAUGCCCUGCUUCCAGGAAAAGCCUCUAAGCAUCAGGUAACAUCAAAUCGUACCCCAAACCGACACAGGUGGUCAGGUAGAGAAUACCAAGGCGCUUGAGAGAACUCGGGUGAAGGAACUAGGCAAAAUGGUGCCGUAACUUCGGGAGAAGGCACGCUGACACGUAGGUGAAGUGAUUUACUCAUGGAGCUGAAGUCAGUCGAAGAUACCAGCUGGCUGCAACUGUUUAUUAAAAACACAGCACUGUGCAAACACGAAAGUGGACGUAUACGGUGUGACGCCUGCCCGGUGCCGGAAGGUUAAUUGAUGGGGUCAGCGCAAGCGAAGCUCCUGAUCGAAGCCCCGGUAAACGGCGGCCGUAACUAUAACGGUCCUAAGGUAGCGAAAUUCCUUGUCGGGUAAGUUCCGACCUGCACGAAUGGCGUAAUGAUGGCCAGGCUGUCUCCACCCGAGACUCAGUGAAAUUGAACUCGCUGUGAAGAUGCAGUGUACCCGCGGCAAGACGGAAAGACCCCGUGAACCUUUACUAUAGCUUGACACUGAACAUUGAGCCUUGAUGUGUAGGAUAGGUGGGAGGCUUUGAAGUGUGGACGCCAGUCUGCAUGGAGCCGACCUUGAAAUACCACCCUUUAAUGUUUGAUGUUCUAACGUGGACCCGUUACCCGGGUUGCGGACAGUGUCUGGUGGGUAGUUUGACUGGGGCGGUCUCCUCCUAAAGAGUAACGGAGGAGCACGAAGGUUGGCUAAUCCUGGUCGGACAUCAGGAGGUUAGUGCAAUGGCAUAAGCCAGCUUGACUGCGAGCGUGACGGCGCGAGCAGGUGCGAAAGCAGGUCAUAGUGAUCCGGUGGUUCUGAAUGGAAGGGCCAUCGCUCAACGGAUAAAAGGUACUCCGGGGAUAACAGGCUGAUACCGCCCAAGAGUUCAUAUCGACGGCGGUGUUUGGCACCUCGAUGUCGGCUCAUCACAUCCUGGGGCUGAAGUAGGUCCCAAGGGUAUGGCUGUUCGCCAUUUAAAGUGGUACGCGAGCUGGGUUUAGAACGUCGUGAGACAGUUCGGUCCCUAUCUGCCGUGGGCGCUGGAGAACUGAGGGGGGCUGCUCCUAGUACGAGAGGACCGGAGUGGACGCAUCACUGGUGUUCGGGUUGUCAUGCCAAUGGCACUGCCCGGUAGCUAAAUGCGGAAGAGAUAAGUGCUGAAAGCAUCUAAGCACGAAACUUGCCCCGAGAUGAGUUCUCCC
rnacentral:rRNA from 1 species